UGUCUGUCUGUCUGGGGCAGGCGGGAGGCUGGUUGGUGUGCGUGGUGUUAGUAUUUGUCUGUCUGUCUGUCUGGGGCAGGCGGGAGGCAGGUUGGUGUGCGUGGUGUUAGUAUUUGUCUGUCUGUCUGUCUGGGGCAGGCGGGAGGCAGGUUGGUGUGCGUGGUGUUAGUAUUUGUCUGUCUGUCUGUCUGGGGCAGGCGGGAGGCAGGUUGGUGUGCGUGGUGUUAGUAUUUGUCUGUCUGUCUGUCUGGGGCAGGCGGGAGGCAGGUUGGUGUGCGUGGUGUUAGUAUUUGUCUGUCUGUCUGUCUGGGGCAGGCGGGAGGCAGGUUGGUGUGCGUGGUGUUAGUAUUUGUCUGUCUGUCUGUCUGGGGCAGGCGGGAGGCAGGUUGGUGUGCGUGGUGUUAGUAUUUGUCUGUCUGUCUGUCUGGGGCAGGCGGGAGGCAGGUUGGUGUGCGUGGUGUUAGUAUUUGUUUGUCUUCUUUGUCUUCUUUUCUUCUUCCAGUGGCUACAUACUGUGACUUCAGAAAGCAUGUCUUUCCUACCUUCCAUCUGGCACUAAGGACACAUAAGGAAUCUUAAAGAUCUAGUCCCAGUUCAUUGGCUGAUAGCUCAGCCAUGUCCAUCUCCAGCCCUGAGAAAACAUGUGUGGGAAAGGAGAGAGUUGGUGAAUGUAUGACUGUGUGAGUGAUUCUGUGACUAGAAGUGAUGUAGUCAUCUGUAUUAUUAGUGUAUAGACAGUCCAUUAGCUCUGGUGAUAGUGACGGACUGCAGUCAUAAGAGAGAUGAGCUCAGUAGUGUGAGAUGAGAAGGUUGGGGGGAUGGGGGUGUGACCUUGCCCUUUGCUAAGGGGACAGAUUGAGAGGAGAGAAAAGGGGGAGAGGGGUGCCGUUCCUUGCAUCACGACACCGCACUGCCUCUCCUUCCGAACAGAGACACACACACAUGCCUUCUGCCCCGUCCCGAGAGACACACACAUGCCUUCUGCCCCGUCCCGAGAGACACACACAUGCCUUCUGCCCCGUCCUGAGAGACACACACAUGCCUUCUGCCCCGUCCUGAGAGACACACACAUGCCUUCUGCCCCGUCCUGAGAGACACACACAUGCCUUCUGCCCCGUCCCGAGAGACACACACAUGCCUUCUUCCCCGUCCUGAGAGACACACACAUGCCUUCUUCCCCGUCCUGAGAGACACACACAUGCCUUCUGCCCCGUCCCGAGAGACACACACAUGCCUUCUGCCCCGUCCUGAGAGACACACACAUGCCUUCUGCCCCGUCCUGAGAGACACACACAUGCCUUCUGCCCCGUCCCGAGAGACACACACAUGCCUUCUGCCCCGUCCCGAGAGACACACACAUGCCUUCUGCCCCGUCCCGAGAGACACACACAUGCCUUCUGCCCCGUCCUGAGAGACACACACAUGCCUUCUGCCCCGUCCUGAGAGACACACACAUGCCUUCUGCCCCGUCCCGAGAGACACACACAUGCCUUCUGCCCCGUCCUGAGAGACACACACAUGCCUUCUUCCCCGUGUUACAGCUUCUCUUUUUCUCUUAUUCUCUCCCUCUCCUUCUCCUUUUCUCUCAUUCUCUUUCUCUCCUUCUCUUUUUCUCUCAUUCACUCUCUCCUUCUCUUUUUCUCUCAUUCUCUCUCUCCUCCCAUUUUCUCUCAUUCUCUCCCUCUCUCCUUCUCCUUUACACUCAUUCUCUCCCUCUCUACUUCUCCUUUACACUCAUUCUCUCCCUCUCCUCCCAUCUUCUCUCAUUCUCUCUCUCUCCUCCUUUUCACUCAUUCUCUCCCUUUCUCCUUCUCCUUUUCUCUCAUUCUCUCCCUCUCCUCCCAUCUUCUCUCAUUCUCUCCCUC